rnacentral:rRNA from 1 species
AUUGAACGCUGGCGGUAGGCCUAACACAUGCAAGUCGAACGCGAAAGUCCUGGAUGAGUAGAGUGGCGGACGGGUGAGUAACGCGUAGGAAUCUAUCCUGUAGUGGGGGAGUAACGUUUCGAAAGGAACGCUAAUACCGCAUACGCCCCAAGGGGGAAAGCGGGGAGUCUUCGGACCUCGUGCUAUAGGAGGAGCCUGCGUCGGAUUAGCUAGUUGGUGAGGUAAAGGCUCACCAAGGCGACGAUCCGUAGCUGGUCUGAGAGGAUGAUCAGCCACACCGGAACUGAGACACGGUCCGGACUCCUACGGGAGGCAGCAGUGGGGAAUAUUGCGCAAUGGGCGAAAGCCUGACGCAGCCAUACCGCGUGUGUGAAGAAGGCC